GAUGAACGCUGGCGGCGUGCCUAAUACAUGCAAGUCGAGCGAGUGGCGGACGGGUGAGUAAUGUCUGGGAAACUGCCUGAUGGAGGGGGAUAACUACUGGAAACGGUAGCUAAUACCGCAUACCAUCGGAUGUGCCCAGAUGGGAUUAGCUAGUAGGUGGGGUAACGGCUCACCUAGGCGACGAUCCCUAGCUGGUAUGAGAGGAUGACCAGCAACACUGGAACGGAGACACGGUACAGAAUCCGACGGGAGGCAGUAGUGGGGAAUAUGGCACAAUGGGCGCAAGCCUGAUGCAGCCAUGCCGCGGGUAUGAAGAAGGCCUUCGGGUUGUAAAGUACUUUCAGCGGGGAGGCGUUACCCGCAGAAGAAGCACCGGCUAACUCCGUGCCAGCAGACGCGGUAAUUC
rnacentral:rRNA from 1 species